UUACAUCCGGUGACAAACAACGUCUCGCGGCAAUGGCGACAGCAGUGUCACGUCGGACAGGGCCCGGCGAAUCAUAUUUGGAACACGCAGGUGUAACUUAGAAAAACAUGACACUGUCACAGUCAUUAAAACACUCGAGAUGGGGAACAUGAAUAGCAAGUGUUGGCUUGUCAAAGCAGUUGCAGUGUUGUCAAGACGUCCUAUGGUCGAUGUCAAACUGGCCGCUACCCAUUCAUAAAUAUUGAGUUGGGCCAUAUUUCCAUGUUUGAGGGGAGAAAGAUUUCCUCAUCUGACUCACGAGUAGAUGCAUAUGGAUCACCAGAAUUACCUUGAUGCCAAACAUAACUGCACCUCAAGAGCAUCUCGGACUAUAACAUAUUUCUUGGAAUAUUUUGUGGUCAAGCAUUGCAUUGCCUAUGAAAGAACAACUCUUGUUGUGUAUACAGGUGUAAACAUAUUAAAGUUCUAUCUGAAGUACUGGUUCUGUAAAUGAUGUCUGUGACCAUCAGAAUACACCAUAUACACUGGACACUUGCUGGAACAGGACCUACUUGUCAUCAACAUGGUGUUGCAGAACAUCUUGGGACUCUCUCAUAAAGUCCAGUGUGAAUCUAGAUACUGACACCAGAAACAGUGCAUGCUGGCACAUUUAUUUGUUCAGGCUUGGCAUUUUGGAAUAUUUGCCAUGAAUGUUUAAUACUCAUGACCUUGGAAUAAAAUUACUGAAUAGA